UACACAAGGUAGGCAAGUCUGAACCGUGUUUCAGCAUCUCUGGAUUUUCCCCAGCAAUAAUCUAAACUGCAGAAUCAAAUGAAAACUACAAAAUCUAAUGAAAAUGUUUCAUCUUUAUGCUUACUGGUAUUGAUGGAAAGCAUGCUUCCUCAUCUUCAAUCCCUUUUGAUCCUUUUACAUCACCCCCAGGUACGAAAAUUAGAUAAAGUGAUGGAUAGAAUCUGAAAAUAUGAACUUGGUAAGAGAGAUAAGGGGCUUCCGCUUCUUAUUCCUCUUCAACAACACCAAGUACGAAUUAGAUAAUCGAUUUCAUCUUUAAUCAUUAAUAAAAAAAAUUAUUAUAACAGAGACACACUCAAAUCCUCAGCAGAAUUAAUAAUUUAUAACGAAAAUAAGCUAAUCACCAUUCAUGGAAGUGGCGGCAACAAUUUGGACCAGGACCACCAUCACGCAAUCUAAAAAAGAAAAAGGUAAGGAAUGAGGAGAGGUUUUUUUUUUAACUAAUACAAUAGAAACAUAAUAGACAACUGUUGAUAGUGCAACAGGGUUAAUUGUGUAAAUAUUAUAGAAAAUAUAGUCAGUAUAAGGUUUUAAUGGUUACUAUGGUUACACAGUUAAUUAUUAAAUUUUUUUGGGUUAUACAGUGCAAUUCCCCAUCCUCUUAAACUAUUUGUCUAAUUCGAUAUAUAUAAAAAAUAUCUAGCAUAAAAAGUCUUUUUUCUCCCAGAUACGAUUAUCAAGAAACCUUUCCCAACCAAGCUUUUCGGCGCCGGCGAGGUCCUUGCCCACCGGCGUCGGGAUCUAAUCGACCAAUUUCUUGCUCAGCUCUUCUCUAUCUUUUUUAGUGUAGCCUUUUUUUAAGUUUUCCCCCAAUUUGUUCUCUUCUCUAACCCUUCUCAAACCCUGAUAAAACCUGUCUCGAAUUACACCAACGAAAAGCGUAUAUCCCGCAGAUCUGUCACUCACCAGAAAAAAUCUCUUCACAAAUUUCGGGCACCAAACAUUCUCAUUCCUCACCUUGGUUUUUUCAAGAGAAACUAGGAUUUUCCCCAGUGGACCUAGAUUCCAUCGCCAAUCUAAACCGAGGUCACCGACUGUUCCUGUCGAUCUUUAAAUCACCGAAGAUGCGCUUUGCAGCACAAACCUCUCCGCUCCUCUCGGGCAGCCGUCACAAUUUUGCUUCAGCUUGGAAAUCGUUUGUAAAGCUAGGAUUUUCUCCAGUGGACCUAGCUACCAAUGGCGACUCUUACCACGGCUACCGCAUGGUGCCACUGAUCUCUCACUCACCGGAGAAGUCUGCUACACCGCAGAUCUCUCUGCAGUUCUCGGGCGGCGACCAAUCUCGACAAACUUUGCGGCUCUUCCUUCUGAAACAAGAGUUUUCCCUAGUGGACCUAGUUUUCAGCUUAGGCCCAUUAAGUCAAAAAAGCCUUGAGUCCAUCAAAUCCUAUCAUAUAUGCAACAAUAGCAAGUUAAACCCCAAUUCCUCACCGUCUAUGACUCGCCAUUGCCAAGAUCUGUCCGGUUUCCCGAUAACCAAUGGUCGAAGACUCCAUUGGCGAAAGUUAACUUCUCAUGAGCGCUAAUGUUGGAAUGGAAGAAGAAACAUAAGAUAUGAUGAAUCAAUUCUUAACGAGAAGGGACAACCGUUCCGAGGAAAAGAAAAACCUCUCUUCUCUCUCCUCUUCUUUAAGCUUCGUUUCAGAUUUCCGGAGGCCUUGAUCUUCAUUCCCUCAGAUUGCUAGGUGUUUGUAGAGGGUGUGGUUUUCUCCUUUCUCGACGUAGAUGCAGAACCGGCGUGGCGGCAGGAGAGCGCCGCUACAGACCCUCUGGUUUGAAGACGCUGCCGAGUGGUGUAGCUGUCAACUCUCGUGGCUCACCCGUCGUGUCGGAAAUAGAUCUACGGCGGAAGUAGAUGGAGGGGAAGGAGGGUUGCUGAUUUGCCUUGAAGGUUAACGGUGGUUCCUUUUGGAUCUCGCCGGCUGCCGCGGAUUCAGAGUGCCUAGGGUUUCCGAUUGAGCCAUCGGUCCUAACCACCGCCGCGUCUUACUUCCUUCUUGGCCGGUUCGAAGGGAUCUAGUUCGGCGAGUUGAGGACCCGCUAGAUCUGGGAAGGAGAGGUUACGCCCGAAGUUGGUGGCUUGCUUGGUCUAGGAGCUGUCAACGGCGUGCUGCGACGUUGGAGGUUGAUUAUUACUCUUUUUAUUAAUUAAAAAAAUUCAAAACAUAAAAUAAAAUUAUUUUUUGUCUAGUGUGGAAUUGUAAAUACCGCUGGAUAAUAGCUAUCUUCAAAAACA